UCACUCGUCAUUAGUAUAUGC
ensembl:piRNA 21ur-1244 ncRNA